GGCAGCAAGAACUCAGGAGGACCUGAGCAGGUCCCUGGAGAGGCUGGAGAAGGACCUGCAGGGGGCGCUGCAGCACAGGAGGGACAGCGAGAAACACAACCAGGAGCUGCAGCUGGUUUUACAGACGGCUCGUUCAGCUCUGCAGGAGAGAGAGGAGCAGCUGAGAGAGGGCGAGCAAGAGACAGAGGGAGAGGGAGAAGAGCGAGAAGACCAUCAGAGAGCUGAGGACGUCCCUGCAGACCAAAGAACAGCUGGUGGAGGACUACUCCGAGCUGCUGGAGGAUCCAAAGGAGAGGAGAGACUCCCUGCUCCAGAAACUCCGCCAGCGUAUACAGGAGAGAGACCGCGCCCUGGAGGUAAACACACACACACACACACAGACACCACACACUCACACACACACUCAGACACACACACACACACAC
rnacentral:lncRNA from 1 species